GACGAACGCUGGCGGCGUGCUUAACACAUGCAAGUCGAACGGAAAGGCCCUGCUUUUGUGGGGUGCUCGAGUGGCGAACGGGUGAGUAACACGUGAGUAACCUGCCCUGGACUUUGGGAUAACUUCAGGAAACUGGGGCUAAUACCGGAUAGGAGCUCCUGCUGCAUGGUGGGGUUUGGAGAGUUUCGGCGGUUGGGGAUGGACUCGCGGCUUAUCAGCUUGUUGGGGGGGUAGUGGCUUACCAAGGCUUUGACGGGUAGCCGGCCUGAGAGGGUGACCGGCCACAUUGGGACUGAGAUCCGGCCCAGACUCCUCCGGGAGGCAGCAGUGGGGAAUAUUGCACAAUGGGCGGAAGCCUGAUGCAGCACCGCCGCGUGCGGGAUGACGGCCUUCGGGUUGUAAACCGCUUUCGCCUGUGACGAAGCGUGAGUGACGGUAAUGGGUAAAGAAGCACCGGCUAACUACGUG
rnacentral:rRNA from 1 species